CUCCCCUCCCCUCCCCCAGGAGACAUUUUGGGCACGUCCCGGCAGCAGGUACCCGAAGAGCCAGUGUACGAGCGGCCAGAGCCUAGUCAGGCUCCUUCGGAUGGCAAGCAUGGCCCGGCUUCGAGCGCCGCGAAGGGCAGCGGCCGGUAUACUUCCUUAAAUUCCUUCUGUGGCUUCUCUACUGAUUAAAACAAAAACAGCAACCUAGAAGCUCGGAGAGACUAAGAGACAAAGGUAACAAAGUAUUUUCCCCUGGGCAAUUCUUCAGAUACUGCGUGUGUGCAUGUGUGUGUCCGCCUUGAUUGAGUCCUCAGUUGCAUCAGUGAACUCUCAGAUUCUCACUGACUUUCUCUUUGCAAGAAGAACACGUUAGUGGAUGCAAUCAUGUCCAUCUGUGUCAUCUCUGCGAUGUCCUCUGUCCCCGCCAGCUUUGUCGUGUUCCUGAUCCAGGGGUGUGUCAGCAAAUAGAAGCACCUGUAGUUCAUCAGUGGAGUGAAGCCUGUCAUCUACGGGCUCUCCAAUUCUGUCUAGGACAUGGUAAGAAUGCUGGUCUGCCGCUGCUUUAUAAACCUCCAAUAGGGCUCUGGAUUGGACGGAUGAAAGGGCCCCUGGCCAUCACCAGGAAAUGUUCUAGCUAGUCCAAAGAUGAAUGAAAGAGGAAAAGGCAGACCCAGUUGUACACUUUCAUGUGACCAAACACGGCCUUAAGCACACGGCUGAUCUCACGCCAGAGGAAAUCCGUUCCCACACACUGCAAUUCAUACCACCACCACCUCAUUCCCUAAGUGACAACUUUUCAAAAAACUGAGGUGGAAGACUCUUAGUCAAAACUUAAAGCCAAUGCUUCUAACAUGUCUGAUAGAUUUUAGCCUUCAGAGUCAGGGUGUUCUUUGCCUUACUAGGAACUCAUCUGUCCUUCAGAUUCCUGAGGACCAGGUAAGUGAGAGGUGACCGUGCUUCCUGUUUUUCAGUUUUCCCAUAGAUAGCUAAUUCCUAAUUUAUUGUUUUUGCAGUAUGUUAGAAACAUAAACUAACAUAGCUGUAAGUACAAGCUACCAGGAGAGCCUAGAAGUGCCAAAUCUAGUUUAAGAAGGCUGAGGCACUCAACUAAAGUAAAAACUAAAGUUGUUAGUAAGAAAAUCCUAGUAUGUCUGGGAUGGUACUGAAGAAAUCCUUGUAAGGUUACUAGCAGGCUAUUUACUUGAGGUGACAAUAUUUACAGUAAAGACAGUACAUUAUUACUGUCUCAUUACCUUAUGGCAACACAACAAUAGCUCCAGAGAUGAGGAUAAAAAUAUAAAACACAGUAGAAAGAAUCAGAUUGUAUAUAUAGGCUUUUAUUAGGGCAGACAUUUCCAUAAUUAUAAACCUCAUUAAAACAAAUAGAUGACCUAACACAACACUGAAAAUCAACUAUACUUCAAUUUAAAAAAAACCAAUUAGAUGACCAAGUAUCUUUAUUAAACGGUGAUCCAAAAUGAAGUAAAAAUUAGUAAAAUUAACUGUAAAUGAAGACACUGCAAGCACAUAAACCAAUGAGUUAUCAAUGUGCUUUAAUACCAGGACCUAAUAACAUUAUUUUCCAAGUAAUUGAUUAAUUAUUAUUGUAAAAACCAUUAUUAACAUAAAUGACACAGAUGAUACUGUACUUUUCUGUAGUAAAGAAACGUUUAAUGGAUUUUUUUAUGGAUCCCAAUUGGUAUUAUAUAGAAAACCUUACUGAACAAAAACUUUUAUAAUCUCAGAAAAAGACAUGAUGAAAUGGUUGAUAGUUUAUGCAUAUAGUUUAACUAUACUAUCACAGGUAUGGAAAUGUAACAAUCAUUUGUAUGUCAGAAAAUGGUAUAAAAGCAGAGGGUUGUCAAAAUAGAGAACAAGAGAUAUUCUGAAACAAAUGAAAAAUCAAGAUACUGUGUAGUAAUGGCAACUAUUUUUAAUGUGUGACAGAUACUGAAAUACCAAGGGGAAAAUGAACAGACUGUUUCCUGAAGUGGUGGUGACAGUGGAUACAGAGUAGCUUUUAAAAAAUGCAAGGGAUAUAGCAAAUUAGCUUACCACCUCCUUCAAAUCAAAGUGAGAAUCUCUUGGAAGAAUUUAAGCACCAUUAACAGACACAUCUUAUGGCAGUUCAUGCAAUGCUUUGUAUUUCCGUGGAAAACUAUUUCAAUGGUGAAUAUGACGUAGGAAUCAGAAGCAUAUUUUGCUGAGACACUAGGUAAUUGACACUUUCCCGAACUGAAAAAAAAA